GUAGUAACCAGUAAUGUUGAAACCCUCACAAAUACGCUCUGAACUCAAAGACAGAACUGCCGCCAAGAGUAUAAAACACGGAUUCAUAUGGAUAGGGUAAACAGAGUACAGAAACUGAUGAAAUAUGUCUGACAAUGUUUAUCCUAUUUCUCAAAUAUGAAAUGCUUCUCAAAUACGUAUGAAAAUGCUUCUCAAAAGAUCAAAACAUCGUUGUACGAACAACAUAACAGACCCUGAACUGCUCCAAUGUUAGGCAUCCUUGACUCUGGCCCCCACUCGGCAGCUAAUUUGCAUCAUAGAAUCCUAGUUGCGACACUAUCCUUCAGACCAAGUCUUGAACAUCACUCGCUAUUUCACUUCUUCGGGGUGCCAAAGCCUCCACGUUUGGUGCCUUAAUUCUUGUCUACAUUUAGUCUGGAAUCUAAACUACAAUACCAUGACAAAAGUGUUUCCCAAUUGCGGAAAGCUAAUUUGGUAUGUUGACUCCGCCUCUCCGGAUAAGCCAUACAUGCUAGUAUACAGUUACUUUGAAACCCUCACAAAUAUGUUCUGAACACAAACAGAGAAAUGCCGCAAAGAGUAUCAAAAACAGAUUCACACAGACAAGGAAAGAAAGAGUCGAUGAUGCUUAUCCUAUUUCAUAAAGAUGAAAUGAUCCUCACAUGAUAGAUACGCCGUUGUACAGAACAACAAACAGACCCUAAACCAUUCAAUGUUAGGCAUUAGGCAUCAUUGACCCUGAUCCCCACUCAGCAACCAAUUUGCAUCAUAGAAUCCUAGUUGCGACACUAUCCUUCAGACCAGCUCUUGAACAUCAUUCGCUAUUUCACUUCUUCGGGGUGCCAAAGCCUCCACAUUUGGUGCCUUAAUUCUUGUCUACAUUUAGUCUGGAAUCUAAACUAUAAUACCAUGACAAAAGUGUUUCCCAAUUGCGGAGAAGAAAAGGAUCAUACUCAAGGCGCUGAUGACUGAUGAAACAUCCCGCCUGACCAUCAGCGUAGCACUAGCAGCACAAAGCAACAGAUUGAGAUGUUAGUACAACUGAUAUAUACAUAGAAAGCAAAACUCCUGUAAGAGGCAUGUAAUGCUAGCAGAAUAAAUUGAGUCAGACAAAAUAUAGUACAUAUGAAUUUUACGUAAAAAGCAACAUUUCACACAUGCACAGGAACAUGCAAUAUGGUUUAUACAACCCUCCAAGACUGAUGCAAAGAAUGUCGCGUCACAGAAAAGAGCAGAACAAUGGCAGUCUUUUCGGAGCAUGGCAAACAUUGCAACCACAUACUGAAUAUGGCAAACAUUGCAAUAGCAUUGG
rnacentral:lncRNA from 1 species